UAAUACUGUCAGGUAAGAAUAC
rnacentral:miRNA from 1 species